CUGCGGCAGCGAACGUAUCACUUAAAGCGAUUCAGCGGGUUACGAUUGACGGAGCGAAGCGACGUCAAAGCGUAUACAAAGUCGAGUCGGUUUAAGGAUACGUUCGUUGGGUAGGGGAGCGUUCUGUAAGCCUGCGAAGGUGGCCUGUGAGGGUUGCUGGAGGUAUCAGAAGUGCGAAUGCUGACAUAAGUAACGAUAAAGCGGGUGAAAAGCCCGCUCGCCGGAAGACCAAGGGUUCCUGUCCAACGUUAAUCGGGGCAGGGUGAGUCGACCCCUAAGGCGAGGCCGAAAGGCGUAGUCGAUGGGAAACGGGUUAAUAUUCCCGUACUUGGUGUUACUGCGAAGGGGGGACGGAGAAGGCUAUGUUGGCCGGGCGACGGUUGUCCCGGUUUAAGCGUGUAGGUGUGUGUUCCAGGUAAAUCCGGUUCACUUUAACACUGAGGCGUGAUGACGAGGCACUACGGUGCUGAAGCAACAAAUGCCCUGCUUCCAGGAAAAGCCUCUAAGCAUCAGGUAACAUCAAAUCGUACCCCAAACCGACACAGGUGGUCAGGUAGAGAAUACCAAGGCG
rnacentral:rRNA from 1 species